GCCCGACAUCCUUCUCGGCCGUCCUCCGGGUUUCUGGCAGCCACCGACACGACGGGAGGGCCCGUGACGGCCCGGCAACGGAGUUCCCGUCGCUCAAGUUCUAUAAAAGGCUGCUUGCAAACAACCUGCCGUGAGUCCCUGAAGAAUAAAACAGCCACAAUGUGGAGAACCGGACGGCGCUGGACUUGAGUUUAAAGUAGUCUUUUUAAUUGUGCUGGAACCUUGUUCAGAGUUGGGCAAGUCUCAAUUUUUUUUUUACACAAGAAAAAUCUAGACCGUGGAAUGAAGUUUCUUGGCGACGAGCCUCACUACACCUGUCCGGUUAACCCGGUUGAAUUUAGUGAGGUCUGUUGCUGAAUGCGUGCUUUUAAUGUCUCAGGAUUUAAUUCCAUUGAACUCAAGAUAGGUCGGGGAAGUUCUGAGGGUCAUAGAUGUUACUUUUUUCUCUUGUUCAACAGAAAGAAUUUCAGAGAAAAUGCAGGAAAUCCUACAUGAAAAAAAUAUGCAGCUUUGGAAUGAGAUUAUUAUAAAGUGUAAAAUAGCUAUAGCAGUUAGAUUUAUAUACCACUUCACAGUGCUUUACAACCCUCUAAGUUUACAGUGUCAGCAUAUUGUUCCCAACAAUCGAACCUCAUUACCAACUUAACAUUAUUAUAUGAGUAAAUAAGCUUGGUCUACAAAGUGGAAAAUACUCCAAAUUUCCUAAUAUAUAUAGAAUAAACUGAUAAGGUACUUCAUAUUGAUUAAUUUCAGAAAGCUUAUUUUAUUCUUACUGUGGGAAAUGAUGAAAUAAGGAUAGACGGCAGGUGCCUUGGGCCAAAAAAACCCUGAAUAAAGUUUUAUGUUCACAGAUGCCCAAGCAAUAUAAUAUAAAAAGCAGCUGAGGGACUGACUUUUGAAGUUACAUACAUGCUUAUCCAUUAAGCAACCUAAUGAAUGAGCAUGUAUAUAAGCAAGAUGAUAUACAUGCCCUUCCUCUAGGCAUGUUUAUAGAAUGAGUCAUCACCUUGAACAGUAAAUGACAGAGAGUAGAGAAACUUAUAGUCAUUUGUACACAAUUUAAUGUUUUACAUUUGUUUAAAGGGCAGAUUGAAAGUCCAAAUGAUUAAAUUGCUUAACAGAGUAAUCAGUGGUAGGUUUCAGUUAACUAUGAUCUUUCUUGACUAUGACUUGGAAUUCUGAGUUCCAGUCACUUCUGUCAUUGUUCUGGGUCUAUAUCUUUAAGUACUGAGUAAUUAAAGUCUGUUGAUAUAAAGUCAGGUUCAACGAAUGCCAACUCAUUAAUUUGAUUAUUUGAUUGUUAUCAAAUUAAUAAAAUGGUUAUACAAAUAUAGAAAAGUUAAGAAUUGAUUUCUCUAAGCAAAAAACCUGGCCAAAUUCCAGGAAUGCUUGUGUUUCCAAAGAGUUCCAUCUGUGCACCAAUUGUUCAUCAAUUAAUAAUGAAUGUAGAUCUAUGUUAUUGUGACUUGGAGAAAUACAUGUUUUUCCCAAUGUUGCAAAUUUAUGUUGCAAUUAUAAACUUUAAGAUUAUACUCCCCCCCCCUCCUCAAAAAAGUGGGUAGAAAUGUCUGUGUGUCUUAUAUAAUGAAUGUUCCCAAAGCCCUGUCCACCCGCUGGCCCCCACCUCCCAGCAAUUUGCCUCCUUGCAGCAAACAGUCUGAUUUAGCACUUGCAGCUGAUUAGUGGUUGGAUCGGCCUCCUGGAAUACUGCCUAUCACCUGUUCCAGGCCGCGGGGAUCGUCAUCGCUGUCGCUGCACAUCACCAUUGCUGCCUCUGCACACCCCAUUUUCAGCCUCCGGAUGGCCCGUUUUCGGCCUGCGUAUGUUUGACUUCUAGGUGUCCCAUUUUCGGCCUCCAGGCAUCCCAUUUUCAGCUUCGGUGUGCCCUGUUUGCGGCCUGUUCCAGGCAGGAAUCACCACUGCCGCCUAUCCCCACUACCUAAAAUGAGCCAAAAAUGGAGCCUGCGGAGGCCGAAAACAGGAUGCACGCAGGCCAAAAAUGGGUAUGCGGAGGUGGCAAUGGUGGCUAUGGGCAGUGGCUAUCCCUGCAACCUGGAACAGCUGAUAGGCAGUAUUCCGGGAUGCCAAUCCAACUGCCAAUCAGCUGCUCGUGCUGAAUAAGGCUGUGCUGAAGCCGACCAGGCUAUUUUCUGUUUGCUGCAAAGAGGCAAAUUGCUGGGAGGCAGAGACAGAAGCAGAUUUUUUUUUCUUAUUUUCCUCCAGAAAAGCUACUGUAGUCCUAUAGUCUGGAGCAUCUUAUAGUCCAAAAAAAUACAGGAUGUGUUCCGGGAUGUGGAGACCUGUAAGGCAUUGAUUUUGGAAAGCAUUAUCCUGAGAUCUUUUUACACAAUAAAUUGCAAAGAAUUCAUUUAUGGAUGCACAGAAUUUAUUUCCAGUUUCUUGAUAAAUGUCCUUUUUUCUUCUGUUAAGGUUGGGCUUCUGAUAGUGACUCAUUUCUUUCCCAUAAAAUAAAUGUUCGGUCAUCAUUUUAAAAAGACUUCAUAGAUUCCCUCCUAUACUGGAGUGUAAAACUAAUCAGUUUUUUUAAAAAUUGGACAAAGUAGUGGCAAAGAUCUGAUACAAAGAUAAACAUCCAACAAUUGAAAGAAGCUGUGCUUGACAUGGUAGCAUGGAGAGCACUUGCCUAUAACAUUGUUAAGACUCAGACCUAGCUAAAUGGUUAAAAUAAUAACAGUAGCAAAGAUAUCUCACCAAUUAAUCUUCUGCCUUCUUUCUCAUCUAAAUAUAUUUGAAGAUGUUGAGAUUUUAUUGUAGAGAUAUCAAAAAAGUUAAUAUUCAGUAUUGUGUUGACUGCAUUGUUGCUUAAUACGUUUAAGUUUUUUCACUGUAUUUUUCAUCAUAUGUCAGGUACAUCAAACUCCCUUUGACUCAAAGCUGAAUAAAUUGGUUCCACUGCAACCCUCCACAUGAGUCAGGGCAGGGGAGAGUUUUGCCUGAGGGCUAUGCUUAAGAACUUGGCAUGCAGUCAUGUGCCUUUGAAGAGGCCACAACAAGGGGUUCCCAUCUCCUGGGCCAUGGACUGGCACCGGUCAGCAGCCCUCCAGGAACCAGACUGUGCAAGCUAGCAAAGCUCCAUCCAUGCACACAUCAUUUCCAGGCAGCAUGCACCGCCCCAGUCUGUGGGAAAGCCGCCCUCCAUGGAACUGGUCCUGGCACCCAAAAGGUUGGGGGCUGCUAUUGUAAGUUGCUGAUCCUGUCUUGCCUCUACUGCAAUAUUGGUAACGUGCUGAAAAGAGAAGAGCAAAGCCAGGAAAUGCCCCUCUUUGGUUUAGUCAUGAAACAUCAACACAAUUUUGCAAACAGUUUGGAAAAUUAGAAUUUGCUGAGUAUAGUGGUCUCAGGUGAUAAUAUUGUCAAAAUCGGCAUUUUAAUUUUCCCAGGGAUGAACUAAAAUGCAUUGCUACCAGCUUUGAUUCUAUUUUAGUACAUAUUUUGUUUUCAAUUAAUAAAAAUAGACUCAAGAAUUUUGAGUGUUAUUAAUAUUCAUAAAUAGCCACAUUAUUAAAAUAUAAGGAAGGAGUAUUUUUUAAAACACUCAUUGAUGGAAUUUUUCCACAUGACCAAGAGACCUAGAUGAGAUGCUUUAUCACUACAAUUUCUUCAAAAUAGGUGACUGAAGGAGAGAUCUUCCCUUGAUGCCUAUAUAUUUAACCUUUUCUGCUUAAACAAGUUUUGUAGGAUUCUGUAUUGGUUAAAAAGAAGCUGUUUAACCUGUGUGGCCACUCCUGACAGGCAACAGAAUUAUGGGUUCUGUGUGUAUAUAGGUGUAUAUAUCCACACUCUUGCAGAGGCACAGUCUUCAAAAACAAAAAUGUCUUAAGCAAACAAAUUGAGACGCCACCUGAUUUCAGUAAAUAUUUCUCCCAAAUUGUCCUUACAUUCACAGUCUGAAAUGAAUAAAUAUGAGAUUAUUUCUAUUUUGAACCGGGUUGUUUUAAAGUGUCAGGUAAACACAGUCACUAAAACCACAACAUAGUUUCAGGAUAUUGUUCAGUAACAUACAUUAUGAUCUAAACACCCCCCUUUUCCCUUACUCUAAAGGAAACUUUCCUAUAUCUUAUAAGAUUGUUAGUACAAAAUCAAACAUUUCCAAACUGCUUUUUUCUUAGUGCCAUUUGAUUACUUCUUCAGAUUAGGAUCUAUUUUUCAAAGUUCAUUCUAAUAAUGUGAUGCCAUUAAAAAAUGGCCAUCUUUGGGCAAUAUUACAUUGUUUUUUGUAUUGGCUGCUUCUGCAGCUUUAAAGGUAAAACAUCUCCAUUUAGUGUAAAAUUGCCUUAUGGGACUUUAAAUGCCUUCUUUAAUUAAAAUGAUUCUGGAAUACAGUAAUAAUUACACUUUUAAACCUAUACAGUUUAAAAUAUAUGUAUUUCCAGAUGUGAUUCAUAGGACUGAAAUAAUUUUCCAGCAAUACUUCCAAUAAAACCUUAUCAGAUAUGAGCUUCUUGAAAACAAACAAACAAAAGUUCUUUAAAGCCAUUUUAAAUGGCUUUUUUAAUGAUGGGGUAAAUUGAACGGCCAUUGAGCAGGGAUUCCAUAGAAGAGGGACUACUAUAUUGCUGAAAAACUCCUGUUCUUUGCGCCAUCUAAUCUGGCAGUAUGAUUUCUCUUGAGACAUUGCAUUGAUAUAUAACCUCCUGUUUGGUGAAGUGGUUAAGGCACCAGGCAAGAAAACAGGAAACUUGAAUGCUAUUCC